GAUGAACGCUAGCGGCAGGCCUAACACAUGCAAGUCGAACGGUAACAUGAGAGCUUGCUCUUGAUGACGAGUGGCGCACGGGUGCGUAACGCGUAUGCAACCUACCUUUUACUGAGGGAUAGCCCAGAGAGAUUUGGAUUAAUACCUCAUAGUAUCAUAAAUGUUCAUGCAUUAAUGAUUAAAACUUCGGUGGUAAAAGAUGGGCAUGCGUAAGAUUAGCUAGUUGGUAAGGUAACGGCUUACCAAGGCAACGAUCUUUAGGGGGCCUGAGAGGGUGGUCCCCCACACUGGUACUGAGACACGGACCAG
rnacentral:rRNA from 1 species